AGGGAGUCAUGCCAAUGAAGCAACAGGAAAGAAGCAGCAUAAAUUGCGAUGCAAUUAGCUUUUUCCUUUCUUCCCUGAAUAGACGUGUUAAUGGAUACCAUUCAAACUGCUUCAUUCACAGUGAUACAGUGCUCUGUUAUGAAAUCAUUCAGUUUGUGUUUAACAGUAAAAAUGGGAAUACUUUAAGUGCUGCAACUGCUGAGACCACUUGCACUUAGUCUGUAGAAAGUACUUGAUAUUUUGCAGGAUCAGGCCUAGAAUACCGAGCCUUCUUCUAUAGGAAUGAAUGUAAGCUGAUCUGCUGCUUAUGAGAAGUUACCUUUUUUGACCUGGGAAGAUUGGAAAAGAAAUCUGGAAUUGCAGGAUGUGGAUUUGGCUUCAGUCUUUACCUUGAUGAUUUCAGAAUAAUCUUUGACAUUCAGAAUUAAUCAGUCCUUGGCUACUUCUGGAGAAAACCCCAAGCCAUCAUGGGCUCAGGAUGUGGCCUAACUCCCCAUGUGCAGCAUGGUUCUGGACUACACAAGGUGCAGGCUGUGGUACCAAAUAAGCUGUCCUCAUUCGGCAGGCUGAGCUGCUCUCAGAGGACUUCAUGGCCUUGUAUCACACCCAGAAUGAGGAGCGGGCACCAAAUAAUAAACAAAAAUAUGCUGUCAUCCUCAACCUCUUGUGGGAUGGAGGAGAAGUCUGACAACUUAACUUGGCUUUGCUAUCCCUCAUGGGCAAACGUGCUUCCUUUCCUUCCUGUGAUGCAUUGCAAGCGUAAUGUGUCUUGUCCUGCUGCCAAUACCACCACAAUAGAUUACAGUGCUUCUCUGAGCAGAGAUACUGGAUGUUUAGCUGAUUAAAUUGAUCCUUGGAGUAAUUGUCACACAAGAACCACAGUGAUUGCCUAUGUUACUGGUUUUGUGCUUCUCAGAAUAGCUUUUUUCUUGUAAAUCUUCCUGUGUUGGCAGAGGGAAUUUUAGGACUGACGUUCUGUGGUAAGGUACACAUACAUGAUAUCAUUAAAAAGGCAAGCUUUUAAUAUAAAUGUAAAACCCAAAUUCAGUGUGUAAUAAGAGCGAUAUAUGUAUGUGGCUAUGUAUGUAUGAAGAGAAUUUUACCGUUGGAAGAAGCAUAAGUGUUUGAAGGUGUGAAAUUAAAGGCAAAGGGAGGGCAAUCUACUCCUCUACACAUGACAUCCCCACAAAAGUCACAGGGCCAAAAUAUCCCAAAGACACAAUCUCCUACUUCUGAAGUCAAUGACAAAAAAAAUCCAUGCUGUAUCAGUAAGUAAGGCUGAAGGCUUUUAAAAGCUAUUAAUAUCAUUUUAUCCAUUACUUGUUUUGGAAAAUGAGACAAGCUCGCUUGAGUCAUCUUUUGUGGCUUCAGAGUCAGCAUAACAGAUCACGGGCUGGAGAUCCCAUCUCACCUGAUUGUCUUCACCUCUGUGAAAUGUACCCCUACUUUGGAGAGAAGGAUAUCUGCCAUUUUGUUCUCCAUUAUUCAUUUCAGAAAAUGUAGCCUCAUCUAUUUACCAGUCUGUGAUGAGGCAGAAAGCGGGGUCUGCUUAUCUAAUAAUCUCCCUGCAUCCAAUUCAAAAUCUUGCUACGCUUUCUUGUGGCAACACUGUCAUCAUUUCUCCAUCCAAUCCUUGCUAACUGCCUCUCUUAGCUUGAUGUAGACUUCAUAAAAAGUAAAUAUCAGGUUCAUGCAAAAUAAGAUUUGCUUUGCUGAGUGUUAAAGUCUGUCCUUCUGAUGUAGACUCUUAUUUUUGUUCAGAUAAAGUCUGUUUAUGAGGCUCAUAACUUUUUGGAAAUCUCUCUCUUUUUUUUUUUUUUUUUUUUUUAAGAUUAAUAUGAUUUAGGCAAUUGCAACUAAAUGAAUGCUUCCUGUUCUCAUUUCUCAUUGCUCCCAAAGAGUUUGAAUAGAAACCACAGAACUUUUCUAUAUAGAGCCCUGGGGUAGAUUGCUUCAGUAACCAGGAAAUACUAUGGACUUCUUAAAUAUAGUCUUGUCUUGAAUGUUAAACAAGAUGGUGAUCUUGGCAGCUUUAUUUCCAGAAUCAGAGGUAGAAAUACCAGCUGUAUUCUGCCCGGACAUGGGAGGUUUUUUUUCUCUUGCAGUUCAAGUUGGGGCUUGUGUAAUGGACUGGUUGUCAGUUGUGGGGCUGCAUGAGUUGUUUGUGUUCAAACAGCACCUUUUGGUGCAAGAGCCCCAGCCAAAUGUUCUUCUAUAAUGAGUCAGGGCAACAAAGAUAGGGAAGGGUCUAGAGGACAAGACAUAUGAGGUGACCCUGGGUGGGCUACAAGUAGCACGAUCACCCUCAGCUCUUGCCUCUGCUGCCUCCUUCAGAAACAUCUCUCAGUGUGGGCAAGUACACACAAAUGCUAUCUGUAAAUACAUCUAGAUGCAAAAAGGUUUACUUUUAUGUGAAGUCUGUAUGCAAGAUGUUGCAUCCGAAGAUGUGAAGUAUUGUAAUGUUCAGAGAUGAGAAUGUUGUGGGAGAGGGUUAAUGCUUCACAUGAAGGCAGCAUUAGUGACCUGUAACUUGGUGCUGGUAAACCAAGUUGUCUAGAGAAUGUAGACCCAUAUCUCUUUUGUUUUCAAGAUAAACCUGACAGUUCUCAUUAAGGCUGUUUUUCCUAAUUCCCAACCCAAAAUUGUGUAUUGCUAAAAAUAGAGAUUGUAAUGAAGUUACAGCUUUCAACUGUGGGGCCUUCUGGAUAACUCCAUUAUAUUGCAAUUCUAUUAAUUAAAAUGAAGGAGGAAAAAUAUGUAAUAGGAUUGUGUUAAUAAAGCAUGAAAUGAAGUGUUACCUUAAGACA
rnacentral:lncRNA from 1 species